AUCUGCUGCUACGAGUCUCAGAUGCUGUUUUUCACUUGCAAAUGACAAGUUUCGCGCACUCUCCCUUUUGCACCACAUAUCUGUGUGACAAAUGGUGCAAAAGUGAUUUGUGCAUCUGUAGAGGCAGCGGCGGCCCUCUGCAGAGAUCAGAGAAGUUCAGCCAAUCAGAAGCUACACUGUAUCCGGUUUUUGUUAUUCUUUAUAGUUCUUCGGUUUUUUAUGAUCAAGUUUGUGGGUCUUAUCGUCUGCAACGUCGAGGGUGUAUUUUGGAGCCAUCGCGACAGUGAUUACAUCAGCUGGUAAGUUGAGUUAAAAUCAGUUAUUCGAAGUAAAUUUUUAAUCAGGGAAGCAUAAUUCUACACUGCCUUUUUAUCGCAGGUUAUGUCAGACGUUACAUAACAGCGAGCUAACGUGAAAAUAGUAAAGAAAAAUGAGUUAAGACACACCGCUGUUAUACAUCUUUUGUAUUUUAUUUUCAGGUUUUAGUCUAUUGGUAAUGUCACCUGCAACGGAGGUGUAUUGGAGUCUUUUCCUGUGAUUGAAUCAUAGAGGUGGUAACAACAGGAGAUUGCUCCAAGCAAAAACAGGGAUGCUGACUAUGAAGGGCAGAAUCACAAUAUGGCCAGCUGUCAAUUUUAUUGAAAUUAGUUUGUAGUCUGGAUCAUGUCAUCUGCAAUACAUUCCAGUUGGAGGCUUUUUUUGUGAUUGCUAUUGUUACAGGAAUAACAUCAACUGGUCACCGUAACCACCCGAUCCAGUCCGUAUCCAGAUCAGACGGUGGAUCAGCACCUAGAGAUGACCUCUACAGCCCUGAACUUCAGCGGAGACCAGGACGUCUAGAUGAGCCCCAGAGACAGAUCCCCAGUGAAGACCCUGUCUCCUAGACGGCCAUUGGGACAGGACCACGGGAACCAGAUGAGUCCUCUGCAUAAUCUGACUCUGCUGCAGCAUGGAACAAUCUGCUGGUUCAUUCCGAGUAUCAACCCUGGUGGCGUACCAUUCAGAGUCACAGAUCAGAUGGAAUUCUGGGAAGAGGGUGCAAAGACAAAGCAUCAGCCUGAAUCCCCUCAUGGUGUUUUUCAUCAGAGAGCUUGUCAACUUUGCCAAAAUUACUGAAAUUUAACACAAUACAAACAAUUUUUUACUGUAUUUUUAUUUCUGUGAAGUCUGUUUUGCCAUGCUGCAGACACAAAGUCCCCAGGGGACUGUGGUGAUGCCUUUUUUCAGCUAGCACAUGCUGGAGAUGAAGAUUUGUAAUUUGUAUUUUUAAAAAGAACAUGUUCAACAAUUAAAAAGAAUAUUAUAAAGACAAAUGCUAAUGAGUUAGUGAUCUUUAUGGGGUUGGGGUUGUAAAAUAAUAUGGUAUACAGUGUUGUACUGCAAUUAGA